rnacentral:lncRNA from 1 species
GGGUAUUGUGAUGAGAGGUUGGAGAUGAUUCUGGUCUAUGAAUACAUGGAAAAAGGAACCCUAAGGGACCAUUUGUAUAACACAAAGUUUCCAACCUUGUCCUGGAAGGCGAGGCUUCAAAUUUGCAUUGAUUCUGCCAGGGGUCUUCAUUACCUUCACAAAGGAGCAGCUGGGGGAAUCAUUCACCGUGAUGUGAAGUCCACAAACAUAUUGCUUGAUGAGAACCAUGUCGCUAAAGUUGCUGAUUUUGGUCUUUCAAGGUCAGGUCCUCUUGGUACUGAAUCGUAUGUCACCACUGGUGUUAAAGGCACUUUUGGGUAUCUUGAUCUUGAGUAUUUCAGGUCGCAACAGCUGACAGAAAAAUCUGAUGUCUACUCAUUUGGGGUAGUUCUUUUGGAAGUUUUAUGUGCAAGAGCGGCGAUUGACCCAUCUCUUCCAAGAGAUCAGAUAAACUUGGCGGAAUGGGGAUUGCUUUGCAAAAACAAGGGGACACUCCAAGAGAUCAUCGAUCCUUCCAUCAAGGAUCAAAUUGAUCAAAACUCACUCAGAAAAUUUAGUGAGACGAUAGAAAAAUGCUUGCAAGAAGAUGGUUCUGAUAGGCCAACCAUGGGUGAUGUGUUGUGGGACUUGGAGUAUGCGGUGCAGCUUCAGAGAGGUGCAAAUGCAAUACAGAGAGAGCCGUAUGAGGAUAGUUCUAGCAGUGUUUCUGCAUCAUUUCAACUGCCCAAUGUUCGGCGUCUUCCUUCACUCUCCACACUGAGUGAAGCCGAUGAUACCAUUGUGAGGAAUGAUGAAUCCGAUAGUGCUGUGGAUUACGUUUUCUCCCAGUUGAAGAUUGAUGAUGCCAGAUAGAUUAUCGAGCACUUCAAGGCAGUCGUCUUUUUGUUUCUGUAGUUUUUGUUGUCAGACUAUCACAUUGUUCUGUCCUUAAUUUCACCAUCCUCGUCUGGUUUCCUUAAUUAGUUUGAGUGAAAUAUGUAUUCAAAUAUUUUCUUUGCAGUAACCUACAAACCUUCGAAUCCACAAAUACCAUUAUUUUGAAUGUUUUAUGUUCUCGAAAGUUUAGAGAAGGAAACUCGUGUGUUGGUAUUAAGUUAGGAACAAUUGGACUCAUUAGACCUAUGGUUAGUUCAUUGUAUUUUCUUUAUAAUUUCUAUUUAAAAAAUUAUUGUAUUUUUAAUUGGUGUGGAACAGAUAUAAAUAAAACCUAAUAGUUAUCGUGGAUGUAAGUGGAAGUUGAAGACCGAAUCACGUUAAAUAUUGUGUUGUUUAUUUUUUACAAUCGUGAUUAUGUGGGUUCUUGCGUGUCUUUUUCUCAUCACAUGUUUCACGGCUAGGGCAGAACUAAUUAAAAAAUCCAUUAAACUCAUUAUAUACCAUCAUCACAUAUUCAAAUUAAAAAUCAUUUUAUAAUAAUAAUUUUUUAACUGAAGAAAAUUGUUGUGAUACUUUUUCUCUGACCACAAUUUCUUGGAAUUAUAAUAGAAGAAAAAUCAUUUGGAAUUUAGACUUCUGUUGUAUUCCAUUCCAAGAAAACCAGGACAAAACAUGUGAAGAUUUUGAUUCCUCUGGAAAGAUAUUUGUACUCUAUUGCUAGCCUUCUUAAUUUCUAUCUUCUUUUUUUCACGGGUCUAAUAGUUCCGGUAGUUGAUAAAUCCACUUCAAUUCAAAAUUAAAGAGAAGGGGGAAAGAGCACUAAUACAAAUAACGUAUUUUAUAAUUAUAUAUUAGAUUGUUUUAUUGAAAAUUGCUAAUACAAAUAACGUAUUAUACACUGCUAAUACAAAUAACGUGUUAUACACUGCUAGAUUGCCUCCAGUGCUGAUGUCGCCGCUAGAUAGCUACCUCCACUACACUACUUGUUAUUUAUAUAGAAAAUUAUUUUUAUUAUAAUGUAUUGGAAUGAAAUGUAUUAUGUUUUAAAUUUUUUAAUUAUUAUAUGUUGAAUGUUUUGGUAUUGAAUUUGGGGUGAUCAACCUCGACAAUGUCUACUAUGUUUUAUAAUGUAUUAUGUUUGGAUAUAAUGUAUUAUGCUUUAAAUUUUGUUUGAAUUGUUAUUUUAAUUGUUAAAUGUUGAACAUUUUACUAUUGGGUCUUGUGUAUUAUGUUUUAUAAUACAUUUAUUAAAAAUUGGGUGACAUUGAUGGAUAAGUGCUUCUAUUACGUAAUCACGAAUCGAAGUUGGAUAAAUGUGAGUUGUAUCAGUGAUGUGUAUGAAAAUGGCGUUGAAGAAUUUCUACAAUUUGCUCAACAGAAUGUAGAAGUUAUAAGUGGAAGAUAUUAGUAUGAUGUCUUUUAAUACAAGGACUGAAGAUGAAAAAGUACUAUGCAGAAUAACAGUGUUACCCUUGAGGCGAAGUCUAUGCACUUUGCUAGUUCAAAAGAUAAUAAUCCUAUUGUGGCUACUUUAAGUUACUUUGGAGUAAUUGAAGAAAUUUGGGAGGUUGAAUACGUCAAAUUUAGAGUUCCUGUAUUUAAGUGUAAAAUGGGUUGAUUGUAACACAAGAGUGCAUGUGGAUGACUUGAGUUUUACUUUGGGUGAUCUUACAAAGAUAGGGUGGAAGAAAAAUCCUUUCAUCAUAACUUACCAAGCAAAACAAGGUUUUUAUGUGAAAGAUCCUUCUAGGUGGUCAGUUGUCGUACAGGGGAGAAUUGAACAUGAUGUUCAUCCACAGGAUGACUCAAGGGUCAAAUCUGUAUACAAGUUUUCAUUCUCUAAACAAAUACCUCCUUUGAAUGAUGAAAAUAAUGUUGAUGAAGUAUAUGCUACACGCCAUGAUCACAAUGAAGGAAUAUGGGAGAACAUUUUAAUACUUCCACAAUAGAAAUUAAGUUAUGUUUUUAUUAGCUUUUAUAUUUAAAAAUUAGUUUUAUUUAAUUUAAAUAUAUAUCUUAAACGUGUUUUUAUUUUUUGUAGGUUGAUCACAUGGCUGACUCAUCAAAGAAGACUAGGGAGCCUACACGACUAAGAAAUCUUGUUAUUAGACGUAUGGGUAAUAAGAAAGUUCCAGUUCAAACAGACCCUCAAACUCGUAGGGCAUCAGACCCUAAUCAUGCUCAAUUUGUAAGUUAUUUGGGAGUCCUAGCUCGAUCUAAGGUGUCUAUCUUGGUACUUGACUGGGACCAUGUAAGAAAAGUAUAGAAGAAUCUUAUUUGGAAGGAUAUUUGUGUAAGCUAUUUAUUUAAAGGUUAUUAAAUAAUUUGUGUAUUUAAAACGUUAUUUACAUUUUAAUGACUUAUUCAUUAUAAUUUUUAGACAAACUUUGAGUUUGAAACUUCCAAUUUGGUUCGGAGCAAGAUAUUGUCUUUAGUAGCUACAAAAUGGAAGCAAUUCAAGAUAAAUUUGAUAGGCUAUUACAUAUUUGGCAAAUACAAGGACAGAUCUCCUUGUGAGAAAUAUUGUAUAGAUGAAGAGGCAUGGUCUCAUUUUGUUCAGAGUCAAAUGGAUCCCUCAUGGUAGGUUUGUGAACAUUUCAUUAUAUAUGUUAUUAAAUCAUAUCAUGCAAUUCAUAAUUUAUGUGUAUGAUGUGCUUGCAGGAAAAGUGGAAGAAAGCUCAAAUCAUUUCACAAAAGAAUGUUACCUCCCACAGACUGUCUCGGGGAGGUUAUGAUUUGUUAGAGAAAAAGAUAAUGGAAGAAAAGUUAAAGAGGCAAACAAAAUCCGAUUCUGGUGAACUUAUUUAUCCUCCAUCACCUCCUAAUCGACAUGGAAAAUGGAAGUUGGCCAGAACUAAAGCGGGAGUCAGAUGAAAUCUGAGAAAUCAUUAGAGAUUUCCCAACGUAUUAUAAGUUCAUAAUUACAUGUCUUAUUUUUAGUAUUGCACACUUAUCAUUACAUAUUAUAUUAACAUAUUGUAUUAUUCUUUACAGAGAGUGUGAUCUCUUUGGUGGGUUGAUGUAUUUUUAUUUGUUGGGUUUCUAUAUCUUAAUCUGGUAUAUUAUUUUGGUUAUUGUAGUGUAGUGUAUGUAUGAUCCUUUAUUGGUAGGGUGCUAGGAAACUUGUUUUGGGUUUUUUGUAUAAGGGUUGGGACACCCCUGAAGUGUCUCAAUUUAUUUUAUUUAUUUUUUGCUGAUAAAAAAAAAGGAUUUGCUAGUGGAGCAAAGCUCACAGGGAAGUUUUGUUCCUAAAGGUCGAGAUGACAUCUUGACUGUUGCUAUUGGAACUAGGGAACACCUUGAUCGUGUACGUACUACUAGUUUUGGUGUUGGGGUGAGGCAAUACUUUGGAUCAGCUCCUCGACCCAACUUUUCUACUGCAAAUGUCAGUCAGGAGAUGAUGGAGCAAUUAGUUGCACAAUUGACAGAGAGACUGACACCACAACUAACUCAUAACAUAAAAGAACAAGUUGUCAAAGAGUUAAAAGCUGAAUUCGAGCAGCGAUAUAAUCCAGUUGAACCAGUAGAUGUAAUUCAUACUCGUGGUUGAGGUAGCACAAAAGGUAGUUGUGAUAUCGAUUCAUACUCGUGGUUGAGCUAGCAAUUAGUGGCCUUUUGAAGAGUGUAUCCAGGACGUUUAACCAUGCACAUUGUUCCCAUGCAGGGUGAUUUCUCUAGAGUGGUAGUUGAAAAAGCUAGAGAUGCAUCUGCUACAGUUUCAAUGUCAUAACAGAGGUUAAUACAGUGGGAUAGACACUUGGAAUAUUUAUUGCAUGGCCUACACAUUUGAUAAAGGCCAUUUCAAAAAAUUAUGAGGUAUAUUUUAUUAAAAGCUAUUAAUGUCAUUCAUUGGGAUGCCACAUUAUUUAGUACAUAACCAUGCAAGAUGUCUUUGAAAUCAUUCAGGUUAAUUAAUUAUUGAACAUCGUAGUUAUUCAACUAUGGAUGAUGUAAGUACCCUUAAUAAUUACAUGAUACUUAAUCAAACGAUGUUUCAUGAAUCAUGUCAUUGAUAUCUAUGUUAACAAUGUAUAUAAAUUAGAUAAUUAUCAACAUGAGUAAUGUUGAUAUUUUUUAUUUCCUUGAGCCGCAAUCCAUACAAAGGUAUGAUAAUAAAAAUAUUAAUUGUCAAACUUACAUUCAAAGAUGAAUUCAGACAUCCAGAAAGAGGAUUUAUAUGGCUCCUUUUAUAAAUGGGUUAGUAAAACUUGUUACAUUUAGAUUUUACAUAAUUAUAAAAAUGACUAAUGAAAUGUUCUAUACUAGGUCUCACCGGCAUUUGAUGCUUAUUUGCCCCAUGGAUAAUACACUUGUGUGGUUUUAUUCAUUACAUAGGAAGUCAAGUCCAGAUCUGGAGACUGCAGUACAAAUGUAUGUUUUUAUUAAUAUGUUAAUUAUAUAAUUUAUUGUCAAUUACUAAUAUUUUUCUCUUUUUAGUGCAAUUAAUGUAUGCAAUGUCUUUGGCGGUAGACCCACUUUAUCAUCACAAGAUCUAGUUAGAUUUUUCCUAGGGUAUAUAUUUAUCUCUUUAUUGAAACUAUUAAGUUUUACUUCUUUUAGUUGUUCAAUUAAAUUAAUUGUUACUUAUAUUUGAUAAUAGUGCAAUAAGCAACAAAAAAAGCUUUGAAUGUGGUUAUUAUGUAAUGCAUUGGAUGUGAACCAUAUCCUUGUGAAUAUUAUGGACUCUUGGAAGCGGGUAUUAUAAGAUUUUAAACACUUUAACAUCUCAUUUUAAAUUCAUAUUUAUUAUUAUGAACACUAAUAUCCAAUUACGUUUCUCAGCUUUUUGUAGAAAUCGAGUCACAAAGCAUACAAACUCUUAAACAAAUCUGUCAAAAAUGGUCCAAAUAUUUUCUAGAGAUUAGGAAUCAAAACAUAUCAUGAUUUGUAACUUUGUAUAUAUAUAUACACUUUCAUUAGUUUUAAUUAUACUAUUUUUUAUUAGUUUCAAUUGCAUGCUUUUAUAUUUCUCAAUAUAAAAAUUGAUCUUAUUGGUUUUUGGUUUGAUUUAAAAAUUAAGUUGAAAAAAUCACAUUUUAAUAAUUUUGAAAAUAACAAAUGUAAAAUGUAAAAUAUCAUAUUACAACUGAGCUAUAUUAAUAAUAGAAUCGAUAUAAUAUAUCUCCAAAAACUUGGGUAAUAUGCAUUAUUGCACUAGUGAAGGAAGUAUGAAGAAAAAUCAACGUCCAUCCUUGACCUGUGCUCAAGUCUUCCUCUCUUUUCAGUCCACAGACUAAUAAUCUUAGUCUAAAAAGAUGCAAAUAUCACACCCGAAACUAAGCCCAGAUCAUCACCUUUCCAUGGAUAUUCCUAAGCUCCACAUAAUUCAACACUCUCGCUGUAUUGCACUUCUUUUCCUUCUUCAGUUCUCAUCACUGCACUUCCCCUCCCUCGGCUACAACGUCCCUGAUAAGUACUUUAUCAAUUGUGGGUCAGACAACAGUGUUACCGAAAGUGGCAAGGUUUACGUUGCUGAAUCAAACCAUGAUGCCAGUUUUAACAGCAGUAACACCGAAAGGAAUCAGUCAUCGGUGCCUUCUCCUCUUUACCAAACAGCAAGAAUUUUUCGAAGGGUAUCUUGGUACAAGUUCAACAUCGAUUCCAAUGGCACCUACCUGCUACGCCUUCAUUUCUUCCCUUUCUCUUCCCCCAGUAAUCUUUCCUCGGCCAGGUUCAACGUUUCAGUCCCUGGUUUCUGGUUGUUGCAAAAUUUUGAUGGUACAAAUGAUACCAAUAACAACUCUGCUUUAGUUAAAGAGUUUUUCAUGGAAAUUAGUGCCCCCACCUUCAAAAUAACUUUCAGACCUCUGGAAUCAUCGUUUGCGUUUGUGAACGCCAUAGAACUGUUCGUACUACCCCUCCAUCUGAUAUCUGACAAGGUGUCGUUUUUUAAACCCAUUGGGGGUACAUCUAUUUAUAGCGGAGGUUUGUACUCUCGGGUGUUGGAGACCAAACAUAGGCUUAAUGUUGGUGGUCAACCUACCAAAGAUCUCUUAUUGAGAAACUGGAUUCCAGAUGAUAUUUAUCUAAUGUAUACAGAAAACGCCAAGAAUCGUUCCCCUUAUAAUGGUGAAAUCGGGUACCAUGUAGAUGAUGACUCCGAUGGUCCAAACNNNNNNNNNNNNNNNNNNNNNNNNNNNNNNNNNNNNNNNNNNNNNNNNNNNNNNNNNNNNNNNNNNNNNNNNNNNNNNNNNNNNNNNNNNNNNNNNNNNNNNNNNNNNNNNNNNNNNNNNNNNNNNNNNNNNNNNNNNNNNNNNNNNNNNNNNNNNNNNNNNNNNNNNNNNNNNNNNNNNNNNNNNNNNNNNNNNNNNNNNNNNNNNNNNNNNNNNNNNNNNNNNNNNNNNNNNNNNNNNNNNNNNNNNNNNNNNNNNNNNNNNNNNNNNNNNNNNNNNNNNNNNNNNNNNNNNNNNNNNNNNNNNNNNNNNNNNNNNNNNNNNNNNNNNNNNNNNNNNNNNNNNNNNNNNNNNNNNNNNNNNNNNNNNNNNNNNNAAGUGAUUGAAUCAUCAAAUGAUGUCCCCCGUGACAUGGACGAACCCGAUUCCAAUCAUCAUCCUUUUCCUGUGGUUCUGGGUUCAGUUCUCGGUGGUUUAGCCUUGGCUUUUGUUGUGGUGCUACUUGGCUUUCUUUUGCGUUUUAAAAUGAGGAAGGAAAAGCCCGUUGGGAAUUCGGACUGGUUGUCAGUCCUCGUUAAUGCUGGAGGAAGUUCUCACAGCAGAUUGACUGAUAUAUCCAGUCACGGCUCUGCCCUUCCCAACAUAAACCUAGGGCUCAAAAUUCCCUUGAUUGAUCUUCAACUUGCAACAAAGAAUUUCCACGAAAGUCAGCUGAUUGGCGAGGGUGGUUUUGGCAACGUCUACAAGGGAGUCCUCAAGAAUGGCAUGACAGUGGCUGUGAAAAGAAGCCAGCCAGGGUCAGGUCAAGGCCUUCCAGAAUUUCAGACAGAGAUUAUGGUUUUGUCCAAGAUUCGCCACAGGCACCUGGUUUCCUUAAUUGGGUAUUGUGAUGAGAGGUUGGAGAUGAUUCUGGUCUAUGAAUACAUGGAAAAAGGAACCCUAAGGGACCAUUUGUAUAACACAAAGUUUCCAACCUUGUCCUGGAAGGCGAGGCUUCAAAUUUGCAUUGAUUCUGCCAGGGGUCUUCAUUACCUUCACAAAGGAGCAGCUGGGGGAAUCAUUCACCGUGAUGUGAAGUCCACAAACAUAUUGCUUGAUGAGAACCAUGUCGCUAAAGUUGCUGAUUUUGGUCUUUCAAGGUCAGGUCCUCUUGGUACUGAAUCGUAUGUCACCACUGGU